GAAACUCAUAAAACUCUUGUUAAAGUGCUUGCUCAGGAUCCAUGGCGUCACCAGGUCUUUUACUUCGGAAGCCAAAGAGUUUUAUUCCUAAAUGAGUUAAAGAGCCAUUUACCUCUGUCGUGUUCUAUUCAUCAAACCACAAGUCGAGAGUCCCUAACAUGAAACUAUUUGUUUGCUUACACAACCAGCUGGGCGCAAUUUCACGUCUGAGAUAUCUAUCUGAAAGCGCCUCUCAUUUAUUAUCCUUACUUGUCAGCGAAUCCAUUUUCCGACUCCCUUUUUUUUUCACUGAAGGAUCUGGAGUAAAAUGCUCCCCUAAAUAUCUCGGGCUCCCCCUCCGAUCCCAGCCCCAACCGGCUGGAGAGCAAGGGGGGAAGUGUCGAGAUCACAAAGAUAAGGUGACUUCAGUCUUACAGCCCUCUCUCCUCUCUCUGUCUCCGUCUCUGUCUCUGGGUGCCUGGUGGAUGACUGGAGUUAAAAAAAAACUGCAGGCAUCUUCCUGCAGGAUAUUUUCUCUGGUGCAAGGUGUAACCACCUGUAAAACAAAAUUACAGAGGACUGGCAUAGAAAAGCCCCCGUCUCUUGCCCUGUCAGCUGCAAGUACAAUAGCUUGCUCGGAGCUGCUGUGAGGUUGCACGGUGUAAAACGUAUGACCUUGGUGACUGUGUCACCAAUUAUUAUUUCUGGCCUGGUGAUGAUUGUAACUCAAAUCUAAAUGCCUGUAUGAUUGGGGAAGCAGGGGAAGGCUCAUCCCCCCCCCCCCACACACACACACACGUGGUUUCCAUUGGAAACACAAAGACACAACGUGAAAGGUACCAGACCGGUUUAUAAAUAUAAUUGCUACUAAAGAGAACAAUUAACAAAGAGGACAGUAGGAAACUGUAUCUUUUUGAAACACUCUUACCCCAAUUUUGAAAAAUCAGGAUAAUGUGAGUAGUGUUUCAAAGCAGGACCGUCUGGCUGACAAGAGAAUCACUGUUAGUAAUCUCAAUGAUGGCUGUAUAAUAGUGUAUAUACAUCUCCUUGUCUGCAGAGUCCUCCAUCAAGCUUAAAGCAAUGGAUCAAAUCCAAAACUACAGAGUAUAAAAUAACCCCACCUGUAAAAAAAAAAAAAAAAGAAAAGAAAAAAGGAGAAGGAAAGAGAAGUGGGGUGGCGGGGAGUACUUUCAGGGAAAUCAGUCUGGUUGCUGUAAGCUAUCCUAUUGUGUUGAUUUAGGAAGACAUUUGCUGUAUAUAACGUUUAAGGCUGAUAAUAUCAUUGCCUGGCCAAAUAAAUAAAGCAUUGGCCAAACCGUGGGGUCAGCUAUCGAUCCCCGGGCUGUGAGAGGAGGGAGAGACAGUCCAUGAGAGAGUCAGAGGUUCAGGGUGUCUGCAAGGCAGACACAGAGAUCCUGUGUGUGCAGGGGAGAGAGGCUGUGCGUGUCUCAGAGAGGGAUAUUCUGUGUGUGAGAAUCAGACAAGGAUAUUCUAUGCGAGUGUUUGAGAGCACACUCUGUGGGUAUAGGAGGGAGAGGGGGAGAGACCGUGUGUGUGUGUGAGAGAGAGAGAGAGAGAGUUUUCAGUCCGCUUUGCAAAGCCUCAUUAGCAUUCCCUCCCUGCCCAUGGACCUGCACUGACAACUAACAGAGAUAUCCAGCUCACCACUAGGCCUCCUCUCCUUUUGUCUUCAAAUCUCUAAGAGAAACAGAUUUAUACGUGGGCUCUGCGCAGUGAACUAACUUCCACUUGGUUCCAGAAGAGACAAGAUGUUAAAAAACAAAUGGGCAAGGCCCUACCCACUGUUGUUUCCCAAUGGGUUGUGCAAACUUCUAUCCCUUCCAUAUAAUGCCCGUGCCCGUGCGUGUGCUAUCGCGGCGGUGUAAAGAGCUGCACCAGUGAUGGUGAAAGUGGUCUGCUACUUUUCCUUUGUCACCUGUAGCAAGAAGCUUUGGUGUGGUUACACAUACGCGUAUCAUGAGGUUUUUUUUCUCUCUUACGUACGAUUUAUGGGGCAUAUCAAAAAGAGCUUCAUUUUUUUCCCCCUACAGGGUGAAAACUACCGGUUGCUUUAAAAAAAAAGGAAAGAAAAAAAAAAAAGAAAAGAGCAAAUCUCUACAUCGGUGUUUGCUUUGUGUCUUUUCCCCUGCUUAUUUCCCGAUUAACGCUCCUCUCCAAACGGUGACAAAAUUCUCCACAAAGAGCCAGAAAAAAAGAGGAAUUGUGACUUUCAUCUCUAGGCCAGAAAGCUCUUUAAACUUCCAGCGUUGAGCUCAAAUCCAUUUCUAACAAGGUUUCUGAGAAGCAGAGUGCACACAACUUACUGCAAACUAUACACUGCUCCCUGAAGUUAUAAAUUAAACUAGUCAGGUAUUUUUCCAGAAAGCGUACAAAUUAGUCCAUGUUGACAGAUGUUUGUCACUUAGUAACUUCUUUCCAAGUUUUUUUUUUUUUUUUUUUUUCCUCCUCUAAGCCUUGUUUCGAGCUUGCUUUGUUGUUUUAAAAUAUGCAUGUCUCUCAGGAAUGCCAGUCACGAGUCCAAACUUUGUGUCCAACCUCCCACAUGAAAUGAUCCUUUUAUAGGGAACCCGAUAUGUCUCAAUCUGCACUUCACUCAAAGCCUCUGCAUAUGGGGCACUGGUCCCUGCUCAAAAAUAACUCAGCAGAAACGCCUUUCCACCUAAAGCCCCCCCAAAAAACCCCACGAAUGACUCCCAAAGAAGAAAUAUAGCUUCCAUAAUUAAAGGAGGCAGCGGUCAGAGGGGAAUGCAGCUUGGGGGAAAAAAAGUAAGAGUUUUAUUUCUUUUCUGAUUGCACUUGGGCUGUCAUUAACAGCAGGUUUAUCAACACAAGGCUCUCACAGCACAGCCUGAAGACCAGAAGAGAAGGACGAGGCGAGAUUAAGGAACUACAGGCCAACGGCGAGAAAGAAAGCCCUUUGAAGUAGUUCCGCCACGAGAAGGCUCGGCUCCUUCCACUCCGAGUGCAACAGCUCUUGAAAGGAGCGGAGAGGCAGGUUAUUUUUUCCCAGGCUAAGAAGCAGGUGAGAGUGCUGGUGCUCCGGGAUGCGUGUUCACAACAAGCAUUUGAAAAUCCCUGUUGCUUCAAACUACCUUGCGACAGCGCUGUCAAGAGCCAGGGACAGGAGUCCUUAAGCUCAGGCUUCUCGUUUGGAUUUAGUGGCAAUCAUGGGACGCUCUUGAUCAGAAAGCCCCUGUAACAGAGCUGCGCAACUUUUCAGACCAGCUCUCAUCUGCUCUUCUAACAUGAUCCUGCCUGGAUCGCCCCUCUAGGGCGCAUUUCCAGAGAAAUAUUACGAGGAAUGUUACCAGAAAUGCGCAGGUAUCUUUAAAAAGAAAGAAAGGGGAAGAGAGAGAGAGAGAUCCCUUUAAAAGCGCAUUUUCUAUCCAAUAGCUAACGGAACCUAAGCGCAUAGUAUGAAACCAAAACCACAAUCGCUACAGCAGGGCCACAACACGUAGUCACUAUUACUCCGGCCUGAGACACAUAUUUAAACCUUAUUUGUGCGUUUUUUAAGCCUCAUAAACAACCAAGAUUCGCAGGCUGUCUACAGGUUUGAACGAUGCUCCGGGACUAUGCAGAUUUCUUUUUUAAAAUUAAAUCAAAAUAAGAGCUGUUUUUUUCUAACUGCAUUUGUAUUUUUGGCCCUUUUUUUCUUAUCAGUUUUUACUGGGGGUUCGCGUUCAUCACUAAUCCCAUUCUUCUUCCUAACAAUGCAUUUUAUCAAGUUUGAAAUGCAUAGUGAGCCAUAACUGGAGCAUGCGGUUAUUGUGCAGCUGAUGGCCCAGAACAAAUCCUGUUGCACAGAAAAAAUCAUUUUGUUCAUAUCUAUGUCAUAUCUAUAGCAUAAAUAUGAAAAGUAUGUGCGUGUGUGCGCCGGCACACAGAGUGCGGGUGGGAGAAAACACAUAAGGAAUAAAAGCCUGCUGAACAUGUAAAAUCAAACCCACCAGUUACUAUUCACUUGAGAAGUCUCAAGAUUGUCUGAAUUUCCUCAUUUUUGUUAUUGAAGCUACAACGUUGAGUUACAGUACUUAAACAGGGGAAAUUUAGCAAUGCAAUAAACCUGGCUGUCUAACCCCACUUUGAAGUAAUGCUGGUGGGUCUAAAAUCCAGAUCUACGUGUUAAUCUCUAGUUUUGCCUUCAAACGGAAUUCAGUGACAAAGAGCUUGGAAAGAUUUUGCAUCUAUUCAAGAGGCACAAAAUCUUUAAUUUUCUGAGGAGUAAAAACUCCCCAAGAAACUUCAUAUAGCUUCUUAGGUUUUGCUUAGCAUACGUGAUAAAACAUUGAUUGUCGCAGUUUGGUGACCCAUGAAAUUUGGGGGUUAGUUUUCUCUUCAGACCAGAGCAUAUAAUUAUGCAAAUAAAGAGCUGUCACUGAUCUAGUGAAAUACUCACAAGCACAUGCAAUCCCAAAUGGAACAGAAAAGUGAAAAUUUGUGGCAUUGCGAUGGUACCACGAUAAAUGCCAUCUCCUGCAAAGUUUCUCGAGUUCAUCUCUUCACGCUUUGUCGACUAUUUCAACAUAAUUUACGACAUAAUUUAUAACAAAUGUUAUAUAUAUGUGUGUUUCAGAUGCAUGCCAGUUUUAAAUGUACACUGCACAGUUCUUGGAAGGCUAUUUUAAUUUGGUAGCUAGAAAACAGUGCAUUGCAGGACUAUCUUGGCUAUGGCAGCUUCCAUUUGUAGGUUGGAGGGAAAUUCUUAGAGAGACCAAAGCAGAUGUUUCGCAGGGAUCGUCUGGAAGCCCCAUAUUUCCCUUAAUCAAGACCAAGGGGAUAAAUCUAAACUGCUGUCUAGAUCCAAGGUGCUGAGUAGCAGAUAAACAGCGGAAGCUCCAUCCACAUGGAGUGCUGCAUUUCAUACGAAAAGUUUUUUUUCCCCCAACUUUAAAUGCUCGCGCAGAGUCAGCUGGAUUGUGUGACCAGGCACAUCGCACGUCGGGGCACAGGGUAAUAGCAGGGCCUCUUUCUCUUUCCCAGUACAGCCGUGCUAAAUUUCCCCAUCGGAUGUAAGAUCUGGGUGAAAAGUGGGGAUCUCAGACUUCUGAUAGCCUUAGAUCCAGGGCUCAGUUGUGACAAAAUAAUAAGCCCCCUUUGCAUCCAACCUUGCUCUUACAUCUUUUUGGCAUUUGGGUCUCCCGGUCCCAAAGUUACCAGUCCUCAGUCUGUCGAAUAAUGUCAGAUGUCAUGGAGCUUCCCAGUGAUGAAAUCUGAGAAGGCUCAUGUCAGACCUCUGACUGUUAAAGACAUCACUACAUGAAAGAUCAGUGGUGUGAAACUUUAAAAACAUCGAUCCAAAUGAAUCAAUUAAAUCAACAUUCAUCCCUCCUAAGUGAGGUUUAAGACUAUCAUUGUUACCUUUUUACACUACACAGAUUUGGAGAUAAACGCUGGAAUGCUUUGAUGGUUUCAUCUCGCCUAGAAACACUGUUAAUCGACUUUGUGUUAUUUUCCCCCUUUCAACAGCUUACCUCCCCGCGUACAUUCUUCACAUAUAGGACAGUCCAAGACUGCUUCUUCCAAUCUAACACUGGAUAACAAAGCUGAUUCUGUAGCGAGGAGGGGGUGAAGCUUUGUUAGGUGUUGAUUAAAACUCUUUUUUUCCCCUA